rfam:TPA: Bos taurus chromosome 1, whole genome shotgun sequence.
UAGCUUAGUUGGCAAAGAAUCUGCCUGCAAUGCAGGAGACUUGGGUUCGAUUCCCAG